GGUUCGGUGCUUUGGAUCCGUUUCCAUCGGUCUUAACAGCUGCUCGUCAGACCCUAGCAGCCAAGAUGGUCAAGCAGAUCGACAGCAAGGAUGCUUUUCAGGAAGCCUUGGAUGCCGCAGAUGUGGAUGACUGUCAGGAUGUUGCUUCAGAGUGUGAAGUCAAAUGCAUGCCAACAUUCCAGUUUUUUAAGAAGGGACAAAAGGUGGGUGAAUUUUCUGGAGCCAAUAAGGAAAAGCUUGAAGCCACCAUUAAUGAAUUAGUCUAGUCAUGUUUUCUGAAAACAUAACCAGCAGUGGCUAUUUAAAACUUGUCUUUUUUUUAAUUUACAAAAAAUGUAAAGUAUAAAGACUAUAAAUCCAAUUGCCAUCUGGGUGACAAUAAAUCAUUAAUUCUCACACUU